ensembl:lncRNA
CUCAUUGCACUGACCAUGGGAACAAUAGUUGAGCCAGAGCACAGUUCACCACUCUCUCUUAACAAUUAAAUUGUUUGGGGAAAAAAUAUGAGCCCUGGUUAAAUGUUUUAUCAAUUAACAAUUAAUAUACAAGUGAUCACAUGAGACGUUUUGUCUAUUCUUCAUCAGGUUCAUGUGAAAUAACAACAUUUAAUGAAAAUACCACUACACCAGCUGCCUACACCAGAACUGCCGUGCCACCUUUCUCUUCAAGAGAGCCUUAAGCCUUGCCGACCAGAAGGCCCUGCAAAGGGUGAUGAAAAAUGCCCAGCACAUCACGGGUACCCAUCUCCCAGCCAUCGUAGACCCCCAGCACAUCAUGGGUACCCAUCUCCCAGCCAUCAUAGACCUCCAGCACAUCACGGGUACCCAGCUCCCAGCCAUCGUAGACCUCCAGCACAUCACGGGUACCCAGCUCCCGGCCAUCGUAGACCUCCAGCACAUCACGGGUACCCAGCUCCCAGCCAUCGUAGACCUCCAGCACAAGUAGUGCACAGGGCGUUUGGCAACACCAGGGACCCUUCACACCCAUGCCAGAAUCUGUUUGCCCCCCUCCCAUCAGGCAGGCUGUACAGGUCUCUCUUUACUUGCAUUUUCAAUUACAUACACACAUCUACCUCGGGAACCUCCUUGCUGCGAUCCCUGCAUUUCAGUUGCACAUGCUACCCUACUCCUUCAAUUUGCCUCAACUGCACAUUUAGAAUGCCAUCGAGAACUGCCACAUCUAUUAAUCUCACUUGUACAUACAUUAUACUUAAUACCUGUAAAUUGCCUGUAAAUCGUCCACAGCACAUUUAGAAUUGCCAUAUGUAAUGCAUUUGCAUUAAUUGUACAUCCUUACAUUCCACUUGUAAUAUACAUAUACUUAAUACAUUUUUCUGCUCUCCUCUAUUUGCACUUCUGGUUAGAGGCAAACUGCAUUUUGAUAAACUCUUCUUGCACUGUUCAAUGACAAUAAAGUUGAAUCUAAUCACUUCUUCUAUUAACAAUACACUUUAAGCAUUUGAGAACGGAGGAGACCAAUUGCUGUAGUUUUGAAAGUUAGAAUGUGGUUUGGCAUUGUCUUGUUAUUCUUAAAUUGUUGCCCUAUUUGCCUGCACAGUCUUUCAUAGAGUGGUGAACCCCUCCCCUUUCUCACUUAAGACAGGCCCAUCCUCUCUGGAUUGAUCUUUUAAUACCCAAUCAUGUUACUGACCUGUUGCCAAUUGACCUAAUUAGUUGUGUGAUAUUCUACCAGGUUUAGUUUUUUUAGCAAUACACAACUUUUCCAGUCUUUUGUUGCCUCUGUCCCAUCUUUUUUGAAACUCGGCAUCAAAUUCAAAGUGGGCAUAUACUCUAUAUAGACAGUUGAGGGGUUUAAAAAUGCCAUGAAGGCAGACAAGUCAACAUUGUAAACUUUUUAUUGGGUUACAUUUAUUGGGUCAACUAUAUAAAUGUUAUGUCCCUGAAACUAUAAUUAUUCCAUACAUAUUGAAUAUAAUGAUUCAAAUACAAAAAUAUCUCGGACAGUGUUUGUCUCAUUUUAAGAUUUAUUUUGGUUGUUUUUUCUUUUGAUUCUUAUUUUUAAGUGAAAGUCACUCUGGUUAGAGGGCAUGACAGGGUUUCAUGCUGGUGUCAAGUGAGUUUCAGACAGGGAGUUUGUCCCGUGCGGCACCAUAUUCCCUGGGAAUACGCUUCUUUUACUCUCAGUGCACCGCUUUGGGAAUAGGGCGCCAUUUUGGAUGCACCUUCUGACACACAGAGACGUGUGACAGUGUUACUGGAAGCUAUUCUGCUCACAGAAGGAGGACACAAUCUCAGGAUGUCAAACGAUGAGAACACAAAGAGAAGGAGGACACAAGGAAAUACACAUAGGGCGUAAACAUGGUGAAUGGUGAACUAGUGAAAGUUAUUUUAUUCGAUUGUGUAGACCUAGCUAAUUAGAGGAAGCUGAAAGGUCCUUUAGAAUAGAUGUUGGUAACACGUCCAAUGAAGUAUAUGGUUUAAAACUAAGUAUGUGCUUCAACUGCUUGUUUUAAUGAAUCACUUGCAACAUUGCCAUCUUCACUCAUUAAAAUGCAAAUCCAUUUAUAACAUUUUUGACAUGC